rfam:Gossypium hirsutum cultivar TM-1 unplaced genomic scaffold scaffold42.1, whole genome shotgun sequence
AAAUGCCAAGAGUGAUGAAUCAAUUAGAUGUGUGAAUGGGGGUAUUGAAUUUAUUUUCUUUUAAUAUUUCCCAUCUUGAAUUCAAACUUUCGAGGCAUUAGAAUUUGUCUGACUUGCCAUUG